CAGUAGCCGCGGGAAUACGUAGGGUGCGAGCGUUAAUCGGAAUUACUGGGCGUAAAGCGUGCGCAGGCGGUUGUGUAAGACAGGUGUGAAAUCCCCGGGCUUAACCUGGGAACUGCGCUUGUGACUGCACAGCUAGAGUAUGGCAGAGGGGGGCGGAAUUCCACGUGUAGCAGUGAAAUGCGUAGAGACGUGGAGGAACACCGAUGGCGAAGGCAGCCCCCUGGGCCAAUACUGACGCUCAAGCACGAAAGCGUGGGGAGCAAACAGGAUUAGAUACCCCUGUAGUCCCUGUCUCUUAUAA
rnacentral:rRNA from 1 species